rnacentral:rRNA from 1 species
CAGCAGCCACGGGAAUACAGAGGGUGCGAGCGUUAAUCGGAUUUACUGGGCGUAAAGCGUGCGUAGGCGGCUUUUUAAGUCGGAUGUGAAAUCCCUGAGCUUAACUUAGGAAUUGCAUUCGAUACUGGGAAGCUAGAGUAUGGGAGAGGAUGGUAGAAUUCCAGGUGUAGCGGUGAAAUGCGUAGAGAUCUGGAGGAAUACCGAUGGCGAAGGCAGCCAUCUGGCCUAAUACUGACGCUGAGGUACGAAAGCAUGGGGAGCAAACAGGAUUAGAUACCCCAGUAGUCCCUGUCUCUUAUAU